UGGGGAAUAUUGCACAAUGGGGGAAACCCUGAUGCAGCGACGCCGCGUGAACGAAGAAGGUAUUCGUAUCGUAAAGUUCUGUCCUAUGGGAAGAUAAUGACAGUACCAUAGAAGAAAGCUCCGGCUAACUACGUGCCAGCAGCCGCGGUACUACGUAUGGAGCGAGCGUUGUCCGGAAUUAUUGGGCGUAAAGGGUACGCAGGCGGUUUAAUAAGUCGAAUGUUAAAGAUCGGGGCUCAACCCCGCAAAGCAUUGGAAACCGAUAAACUUGAGUAGUGGAGAGGAAAGUGGAAUUCCUUGUGUAGUGGUGAAAUACGUAGAUAUUAGGAGGAAUACCAGUAGCGAAGGCGACUUUCUGGACACAAACUGACGCUGAGGUACGAAAGCGUGGGGAGCAAGCAGG
rnacentral:rRNA from 1 species